UACAGAGGUCCCAAGCGUUGUUCGGAUUCAUUGGGCGUAAAGGGUGCGUAGGCGGCGCGGGAAGUCGGGUGUGAAAUCUCGGAGCUUAACUCCGAAACUGCAUUCGAUACUGCCGUGCUUGAGGACUGGAGAGGUGAGUGGAAUUCCCAGUGUAGCGGUGAAAUGCGUAGAUAUUGGGAGGAACACCAGUGGCGAAGGCGGCUCACUGGACUGGUACUGACGCUGAUGCGCGAAAGCGUGGGGAGCAAACGGG
rnacentral:rRNA from 1 species